GACGAACGCUGGCGGCGUGCUUAACACAUGCAAGUCGAGCGGUAAGGCCCUUUCGGGGGUACACGAGCGGCGAACGGGUGAGUAACACGUGGGUGACCUGCCCUUAGCUCUGGGAUAAGCCUGGGAAACUGGGUCUAAUACCGGAUAUGACUCCAUGACGCAUGUUGUGGGGUGGAAAGCCUUGUGCGGCUAGGGAUGGGCCCGCGGCCUAUCAGCUUGUUGGUGGGGUGAGGCCUACCAAGGCGACGACGGGUAGCCGGCCUGAGA
rnacentral:rRNA from 1 species